UACGGAGGGUGCAAGCGUUAUCCGGAUUUACUGGGUUUAAAGGGUGCGUAGGUGGUCAGGUAAGUCAGUGGUGAAAUCUUCAAGCUUAACUUGGAAACUGCCAUUGAUACUAUUUGUCUUGAAUUAUCUGGAGGUAAGCGGAAUAUGUCAUGUAGCGGUGAAAUGCUUAGAUAUGACAUAGAACACCCAUUGCGAAGGCAGCUUACUACGGAUAUAUUGACACUGAGGCACGAAAGCGUGGGGAUCAAACAGG
rnacentral:rRNA from 1 species